GGGCCCGUAGCUCAGCCAGGUAGAGCGGCGGGCUUUUAACCCGUAGGUCGUGGGUUCGAAUCCCACCGGGCCCG
rfam:Vulcanisaeta distributa DSM 14429, complete genome.